rnacentral:lncRNA from 1 species
GUAACUCCUGGGGAAAAUCUUCUGAACAGGGGAAGCUUCGUACUCUGAGGAAUUAUACCAAAGAGAAAUAAGUGUUCGUGUGCUGUGAGAAAAUCUUCUGAGCUCAGUCAUCACUUACGGUCCCUGGAAGAGUCAUACAGGAGAUGGAUCCAUCCUAGGACGUUGCGUCUGAGAGUUUAUAAAGGAGAGAGAGCCAGUGGCUACUGUGCGGUUUCAAGAAUCCUCAACCAUAGCUCUACCCGUAGUAUGCACUGAAAAAGCAACCCCAGGAAUAUUUAAAAAACAAAGGAGAAAGAAAUAUAAGUAGAUAUCACAGGCAAAUGAAUGUAUUUCUGACUUUUUUUCUGCUUUUCCUGAGAAACCAGUGAGUUUAUUGGCUGGCCUUUUUUGUUGUUUUUGGGUGGCAGGGGGCUGUUUGAGAGAUUAACCGCCUGAAUUAAUAUGCACUGUGUGCCACGCCACACCAGGAAGGCUGGACGCUUGAGAGCAUCUCUGCGUUACGAAACGUCAUCUUAGGUGACACCUUGAUUUAUGAAGCCUUUAAAACUUAAAUUAGGAUACAAAAAUGUUGUCUAAAAUUAUAAUAAAGACAUAAGGACACACGAAUGGGUACAUUUUACUUUACUACUUAAAACUGUUUAAGGCUUCAUUUUUAUUUAUCCAUUAA